AUUGAACGCUGGCGGCAGGCCUAACACAUGCAAGUCGAACGGCAGCACAGAAGAGCUUGCUCUUUGGGUGGCGAGUGGCGGACGGGUGAGUAAUGUCUGGGAAACUGCCCGAUGGAGGGGGAUAACUACUGGAAACGGUAGCUAAUACCGCAUAACGUCGCGAGACCAAAGUGGGGGACCUUCGGGCCUCACACCAUCGGAUGUGCCCAGAUGGGAUUAGCUAGUAGGUGGGGUAAUGGCCCACCUAGGCGACGAUCCCUAGCUGGUCUGAGAGGAUGACCAGCCACACUGGAACUGAGACACGGUCCAGACUCCUACGGGAGGCAGCAGUGGGGAAUAUUGCACAAUGGGCGCAAGCCUGAUGCAGCCAUGCCGCGUGUAUGAAGAAGGCCUUCGGGUUGUAAAGUACUUUCAGCGGGGAGGAAGGCGGUGAGGUUAAUAACCUCGCCGAUUGACGUUACCCGCGGAAGAAGCACCGGCUAACUCCGUGCCAGCCGCCGCGGUAA
rnacentral:rRNA from 1 species